GAGUUUGAUCUUGGCUCAGAGUGAACGCUGGCGGUAGGCCUAACACAUGCAAGUCGAACGGCAGCACAGUAAGAGCUUGCUCUUAUGGGUGGCGAGUGGCGGACGGGUGGGGAAUACAUCGGAAUCUACUUUUUCGUGGGGGAUAACGUAGGGAAACUUACGCUAAUACCGCAUACGACCUACGGUGAAAGCAGGGGAUCUUCGGACCUUGCGCGAUUGAAUGAGCCGAUGUCGGAUUAGCUAGUUGGCGGGGUAAAGGCCCACCAAGGCGACGAUCCGUAGCUGGUCUGAGAGGAUGAUCAGCCACACUGGAACUGAGACACGGUCCAGACUCCUACGGGAGGCAGCAGUGGGGAAUAUUGGACAAUGGGCGCAAGCCUGAUCCAGCCAUACCGCGUGGGUGAAGAAGGCCUCGGUUGUAAG
rnacentral:rRNA from 1 species